GACGGAGGAUGCAAGUGUUAUCCGGAAUCACUGGGCGUAAAGCGUCUGUAGGUGGUUUAAUAAGUCAACUGUUAAAUCUUGAGGCUCAACCUCAAAAUCGCAGUCGAAACUAUUAGGCUAGAGUAUAGUAGGGGUAAAGGGAAUUUCCAGUGGAGCGGUGAAAUGCGUAGAGAUUGGAAAGAACCCCGAUGGCGAAGGCCCUUUACUGGGCUAUUACUAACACUCAGAGACGAAAGCUAGGGUAGCAAAUGGG
rnacentral:rRNA from 1 species